UGCGUAGGCGGUCUGUUAAGUCGGAUGUGAAAUCCCCGGGCUCAACCUGGGAAUGGCAUCUGAUACUGGCGGACUUGGAGUCUUGGAGAGGGUGGUGGAAUUCCUGGUGUAGCGGUGAAAUGCGUAGAGAUCAGGAGGAACACUAGUGGCGAAGGCGGCCACCUGGCCAAAGACUGACGCUGAGGCACGAAAGCGUGGGGGAGCAAACA
rnacentral:rRNA from 1 species